CUGGUGUCGUUUGCUGAGGAGGAGGUUGCCAUGUAGCUCACUGUCUGUAAAGAGCCCAGUGCAGGGUCUGGGCAUAGCAGGUGCUUAGCCAGUGGGAGCCAUUGUGAUGGUGGUGCAAGAAGCCAGGAGGAGAGAGGGCCUGGAAGCCGCAGGAGUCAGAGCAGAGUGAGGGUGACACCCUGGAUCAGCCCCUCUGGGGACUGGCGUGUGGCCUGCGACAUCCAGCCGUGGUAGUAGAAGGCUGGCCUUGCCUCUGUGGUCUGGGGCCUCUCAGGACAGGCCCUGCAGGAUUUGGCAAGGAUGACUGUUCUUGUGCCCUCCUGACCUGUCCAAAUAGAUGAGUGUGUGGUCCUGCCCUCAAGACUAUUCUGGGUCCCUGCCAGCUCUGGUACUGGGUGGACAGGUGGGCUUGAGGCUGGCACGCAGAGGGGAGAGAAGUCAGGGACAAUCUGGGGGCCUGGUGUCUGGCCAGGACCUGCCCUAAGUCCUGUGCCAGGCUGACGUCACUGAGUGUGAGGCCCGUCACUGGGCGCAGGGGUGAUGAGGCGGAAGGAAGGUCUUGGAGGCCAGGCAGCCAUUGUUGGCUGGCUUACCUGGAUUAGGCUUUUCAUGUGGAGGGAAGAAAGAGAUCUGCUUUGUCGCAGCCGAGGCAUCAGGCUGGAAACACGGAGACCUGGCCCAAGGAAAGGCCCGUCGCGGAGCACAGAGAGAAGAGAGGCCUGGUGCAGGACCCACUCCCUCUGCCGUCGCUACCCGUCCAUCAGUGAUGAUGCUCGUAGAGAUCGCAGGCUUGCUUCACCACUGACCCCAGCAUUCCAUCCAGCAAACAGACGUCCACCCUGGCAGUCAUAGGUCCUGCCUCCCACAUCUUUGUUUCUCCUCCUGGCCAUGGGAAAGUCAGCUUCGUGAAGGCCAGGACCCCAACCCUCAGGUUUAUAUCUGUGUAGCCAGGGUAUACAGCAGAGCUGGUCCAGGAUGGCAGGCCCUCAUGGACGCGAUGAGUCCCUGGAUUGGGAGGUCCGAGGGGUGCGGUGACCUAAGGUGGAGACUUGUACGUAUACUUGUUUGGUGGUGACA
ensembl:lncRNA